ACAGCUGCUGUAUGUAUCUAGGUAUGAUACGGUUUUAGGAUCUUAAUUUGAUCACUGUAUUGUUGCUUAGAAGUUUAUUGCAUUGUGGGAAACACAGAUAAGCUUUGUGAUUUGCAUAUAUUCAACAGAAUCCUGCACUGAAACGUGGUUAUAUUAAUAGUAUUACACUUAUCAUGCAGCCUUAUUUUGUCCAGCUAAUAGACUCACCACCAAUGGAUCAACAUUACAGAGGAAACGUUCAAAUCCUUUUGCUGCAGGAUUAUUUCACUGCAACAAUACUGGCUAAAUUAAGAUCUUACAUCUGUACAUCUACAGUAUGUGUAUAAUUUGUAAUAUUAGACAAUGUGCAAAAUGUUUCCUCUUUUUGGAACAGAUGGCUAUAAUGUGUGUUUUAUUUACAGGGCAUGAAGAGCCUGUUAACCCAAAGGUUUUUAAGAUUGUAGGAAAAACCUUGGGGUUGAUUUUCCUUUUCAGCCUGAUCGUAUUCUCUGCAUGGAGGAGGAGAACAUCUAGACUCCCCAGUGGGUUUGACAUGACAGACCGUUCGCAGGGACUGGUGGGAAUGAACUCCCCGGUUGGGACAGUGUGCUCUAACCAGGCCACGGUCAGUAGAGGGAACCAGUAACCACCACUUAACAACCUAGAUGGUCUUUAAGCACAAGUCAAUAAAAGAGGUGCAUGUUAAUUAUUUUUCCAAUGGGUAUUAAGUGUUUUUAUGUACAAUAUUGUCAUUGUGUAUUAGUUUUAAAUUGAUACUUUUGUUACAUUUAUAAUUGUGUGCUCUUUAGUUAUCUGCCUGUUUGUAGAAUUUGCUGGGAUGAAAAGUGUUUAACUGUUACUAUAGUGUUGAUAUGAUGAUGUAGGCUACUCUUUAUUUUAGACCAUUUAUUUUGAGUGUUGAGUUCACAGAGCAUCUGUUUAAUGGGUUCCAGUAUAGAGGAACUGCUGAGUUCAACUAGCUCACUGAAGGCAGUUUAAGACCAUAUAAAGUCGAUGAUGACUGAGGAGAGAAGACACAGUUAGUUGGAGAGACAGUGGUCUGAUACAAGACAGGAAGUUGGUGCAGUAAGUCGACAUGAUGGCAGAAUGGUGUUAACGUCUACUAGUUACUGUUUAUCUUCCUCUUUUGUGCAGUUGCCAGAAUAACAAUUGUAUCUAUUUUCAGUUUAUAUCUAUUUAGAAGUUAUUGUCAGUUUUUGUGUUGAGUGUUAAAUUGAAGAAUCAAUUGAGACUGAAUUUCAGGUUGUUUAUUAAUUGCCCUGCAAUAAAAACCUUUACAUUCAAUUCCCAUGAAAUAUUUUGGUCUUAUUGGUCCAACAUUUAACAUCUCAUUAAAAUGGAUUCUAUUGAGAUUUUGUGUCACUGUUCUACACACAAUGUGGAAUUAUGUUUUUAGACAUAAAAAUGAAAAGCUGAAAGUCAAUAUGUAUUCAACACCUUUUCUAUGGCAAGCCUAAAUAAGUUCAGGAGUAAAGAUUUACUUAACUUGUCACAUGAGUUGCAUGGAUUCACUUUGUGUGCAAUACUAGUGUUUAACAUGAUUUUUAAAUGACUACCUCGUCUCUGUACCCCACACAUACAAUUAUCUGUAAGGUCCCUCAGUCAAGCAGCAACUUUCAAACAGAUAUAAACAGCUUUUCCAUUGCCUCACAAAGAAGGGCACCUGUUGGUAGAUGGGUAAAAAGAAAAUAAAUCUGACAUUGAAAACCCCUUUGAGCAUGGUGAAGU